CGCGGGGUGGAGCAGUGGUAGCUCGUCGGGCUCAUAAUCCGAAGGUCACAGGUUCAAAUCCUGUCCCCGCAACCA
rnacentral:tRNA from 2 species